rnacentral:tRNA from 1 species
GGGCUCGUAGCUCAGUGGGAGAGCGCUGCCUUCGCAAGGCAGAAGCCGCGGGUUCAAAUCCCGCCGAGCCCA